GGCACCGCGGAGGAAGAACCAACAGGGAUUACCUCAGUAACGGCGAGUGAAGCGGUAACAGCUCAAAUUUGAAAUCUGGCCUCACGGUCCGAGUUGUAAUUUGUAGAGGAUGCUUCGAGCAUGGUCUGGCCUAAGUUCCUUGGAACAGGACGUCAUAGAGGGUGAGAAUCCCGUAUGCGGCCAGGUGCCUACGCUCAUGUGAAGCUCCUUCGACGAGUCGAGUUGUUUGGGAAUGCAGCUCAAAAUGGGUGGUAAAUUUCAUCUAAAGCUAAAUAUUGGCCAGAGACCGAUAGCGCACAAUGGAAAGAGAGUUAAACAGUACGUGAAAUUGUUGAAAGGGAAGCGCUUGCAACCAGACUUGCGCGCGGCCGAUCAUCCGGUGUUCUCACCGGUGCACUCGGCCGUGCUCAGGCCAGCAUCGGUUUUGGCGGCUGGAUAAAGGCCCUAGGAAUGUAGCUCCUCUCGGGGAGUGUUAUAGCCUAGGGUGCAAUGCAGCCUGCUGGGACCGAGGACCGCGCUUCGGCUAGGAUGCUGGCGUAAUGGUUGUAAGCGGCCCGUCUUGAAACACGGACCAAGGAGUCUAACAUCUAUGCGAGUGUUUGGGUGUCAAACCCAUACGCGUAAUGAAAGUGAACGGAGGUGAGAACCCUUAAGGGUGCAUCAUCGACCGGUCCUGAAGUUUACGGAAGGAUCUGAGUAAGAGCAUAGCUGUUGGGACCCGAAAGAUGGUGAACUAUGCCUGAAUAGGGUGAAGCCAGAGGAAACUCUGGUGGAGGCUCGCAGCGGUUCUGACGUGCAAAUCGAUCGU
rnacentral:rRNA from 1 species